rnacentral:rRNA from 1 species
GACGAACGCUGGCGGCGUGCUUAACACAUGCAAGUCGAACGGAAAGGCCUUGUUCUUGUGGGGUGCUCGAGUGGCGAACGGAUGAGUAACACGUGAGUAACCUGCCAUUGACUUUGGGCUAACGCCAGGAAACUGGGGCUAAUACCGGAUAGGAGCUCCUGCUGCAUGGUGGGGGUUGGAAAGUUUCGGCGGUUGGGGAUGGACUCGCGGCUUAUCAGCUUGUUGGUGGGGUAGUGGCUUACCAAGGCUUUGACGGGUAGCCGGCCUGAGAGGGUGACCGGCCACAUUGGGACGGAGGUGCGGCCCAGACUCCUACGGGAGGCAGCAGUGGGGAAGAUUUCACAAUGGGCGGAAGCCUGAUGCAGCAACGCCGCGUGCGGGAUGACGGCCUUCGGGUUGUAAACCGCUUUCGCCUGUGACGAAGCGUGAGUGACGGUAAUUGGUAAAGAAGCACCGGCUAACUCCGUG